ensembl:lncRNA
ACCGUUACACAGCGCCGACACUGGAGACUCCUUCCGUAAGCACCGUAAACCGGAACGCGUUCAUAUAAACCUGUCGGAGCUGCUGCUCCAGAGACUUGAUCACCACCUUCUGACCAAUCAGGGUGCAGAAUUCGACGUGUCCGUGGUGUGGUGGUGGUUUACUGUCUGACGGUACGUUAUCGAUUUUCUUCCUGACGGAUAAACCCGCAGGUCGGAGUCUCGCAGGGUUAAUCCUUCCGAACGGAGGAAUCGAGAUACAGUAGAUGGUCGCGUGGAUGAAGUUACGGUGCUCCUACGGAGUUCCUGGAGUGUCGGGUGGCAGGCAGUCGCACGCCAGCUCGCUUUCAUUUUCCGUUCGGGGAAGAAGAGAAGAAGAAAGAGCUCUGUUUAAGGGUUUCUGCUCUGUCUAAGUUCUCCAGCAGUAAACGUUCCCAGAUGUGGCUUCAACUCUGCGUGAACUUUUCUCUCGAAUGAGGCCGAGCGCUCCGAUUCCUCCAACACCCAACACCACUCGUGUGUGUGUGUGUGUGUGUGUGUGUGUGUGUGUGUGUGUGUGAGAGAGUAAUUUCUCUCACCACUGCUGCAGGAGUUAGGAAGUGGAGAAGCUCCAGCGGAGCGGUUUUUGUCUCGUCCCUGCUAUCAUUCCGUAGUCUUUCCGACUUUUGUGUAGAAAUGAGAGGUUUGCUCUAGUGCGCUGUGGGAAGAUACGAGAUGGCGUGGAGUAGAGAACAUCUUUAGCACACAAAUCUUCAAAUCCAUAUCGUGACUGAAAAAACACAACGACAGAACGAUCGCGUCUGCGUCCUGAUCACGCCAAAUCUAGAUUUCUUCACACGACGUAGGAUUAAAAAAAAACAGGACGGAGCGGCGUGUCGGGAAAACGCCGCGGCGUGUCGACGGAAAUAAACGCUGGCGCGUGUUCGGUGAUCUGUAUUUCCUUUGUGUUCCGUAUGAACCUUAAUAACCUUCUGUCUCACUUCAGACACGGUUUCUCAUCACUCUAUGCGUAUUUUGCAUCGACGUGAACUCGGCAUGACCCGAUGUUUAGUAAACGUUCCUGACUUGUCCGCGAGGAUCGCUGUUACUAUGUUACGAGCGCUUUAUCCCAUUCCGACCAAUCGGAAUCCAGAACUCGGCAGCUCCGUGGCGUGGUGACGUAUUAACGAUCAGGUUAGAUUCUGAAGUCGCAGCACGAGGUGAUCUCUACAGUGGAAAAUUACAGCACCGUUUGAGACGAGGUGGAAAAUCACCUAAAAUGUCCACGUUGUGCGGCGGGUGGCUUUUCGCAGGCGGCGGAGUUUUUUCUAAAACCCCCCCGACAACCCUCCCCUAAACCAAAAUGGCGGCCGGCUGAGUUUUUGUCACGUAUUCAGCGCGUCGGAAUGGUCAGGCCUCAUUAGAGCUGGGAGAAAUGGUCUGUGGAGAAUGCACUCUCCUUUGACUUGACAUGCAGGUACAUGAUUAAAGAGAGAGACGGAGAACCGGGCAGAGUGAACGAGGGAUCCUCUGGAGCGCCCGGUUCCUCUGAGAGACUCGUCUGAAGCGCUGCGGUGGGUGGCACGCCGUCAUGCCUGAUCUUGCACGAUGUUGUACAAGUAUGCAAGACUAAACCCCGGUGAUAUCAGAGCUGUUGACGUGGAGGUUCGCGAAGCCACAGCUGUAACGACGUACGAGACCGGUCUCGCGUCUCACCCCGGGACCACACACGCGGCUAGGCUCAGCGUCGGCGUCCUGCAGACGUGCUAACCUUCGGAGCGCCGAGAUUCCAGUACGCCCGUACGAGAUCUCUCAGAAAUAUACCGAACCGAUCGACCGCCGCGUAAGUGCUUUGAACUCAUUAAUAUAAACCGACCCACUGGAAGCCACGCCCCCUUCCUAAUCUAACAAUUUAUUUACAAAUAUAUCUUCAUUUAAACGGACGGCUCGGAGGGAAGUAUUCUGAAAAGCGGGAGAUGAGAGUCCGGCGUCGGCGCGAACCCCUUCAAUACCGUUCAAAAAUCAUCUCGGGGAAAUUCCUCAAGAGCUCGCGCGAGGAAACGCCGAGAAGGCAUUUCUGCAAAUUCUAGGCGAAAAGGGCGUCGACUUCGAAGACGCUAAAACACCGGGCGAUUUAGAUUUAUUUUGGAUUUUUUUUAAUCACGACAUAAUUCCCAGAGUUCCGUUUGUGCUCCUCCAGAGUUUUGAUUUCGAAAUGAAGCUGCUCGAAUUACAAAAUGAGUUUAAUGUCCGUGAAACAUUUCAAUAGAAUAUGUACAAAAUUAGUAGCAUUAAAAAAAGAAAACAAACCUUUAUGAUUAAAAAUGGUAGAAACUUUUAGUCGGUGUGAGUAUAGGGUAAGAGUUCCCCUAGAGGAGCAAACCAAGGUACCUUAAAAUGCUUUAGGUGGAACCUUUACUGUACUAACAGUGGAGCUCCCGGUUGAAGUUUACGUCCCAGCUUCACCGAAGUGCCCGAGUCAGUGCCCGAGUCAGUGCCCGAGGCAGUGCCCGAGUCAGUGCCCGAGUCACUGCCCGAGGCAGUGCCCGAGGCAGUGCCCAAGUCAGUGCCCGAGGUUCUUCACCCUGAUCUGCUCAGCUGUCCACUCUUAAAUUCAGAACCGUUGAGGGUUCUUCAGUUCCCUCUGAACACCCCCUUGAAAGUUCUACACAGAACCGUGCACCACAGUGUUCACUAAGAACCCGUGACUAUCGUAAAGAACCCGUUGUGCGUGUGGAAGCGUCCAGGCUCGGAGCACACGUCGGUAUUUUCUUCAUAUCUGUUCAGCAGCAGCUUGUGUUCAUGCAAACGAUGUGGUGUCUGGGAGGAAGUUAGCACGGAGAGCUUCCACUGCGGGGUGGAUUUGCAUGUGGAGGCGUGACCGGGAGCGUGGCGCUCGUCACCCGGCCGCUCAGUUUCCUAAAACCUCCCCCGCUUUCAUUCCGUUCUCUUUUUCCAUCGCGUACGUUUUUAAAAUGUAUUCAUUUAAUAUGUUCGAUUCGUUUGAGUCGACGUCUCGGCGGUUUUGAAACACGCCGCACCGUUCGCACGCGUGCGUUUGUCCUCGGGUCAGGGAUUCGAUGUGUACUUACUGAAGAAUCACCAGAACAUUAUGAUUGUAAUUAGCGAUCGGUUCGUAGCGGGUCGAUAUUUACCUUUUAAUUUAAGCUCGACGACGAAUUUCUGCACGGUUUCUACGCACCGCUUUCCCACACCGGAAACUCUGCUCUCCUCGAAUGUAAUUACGGCGUUUAAGGUCAAACAAAUGGCGGAGAGGGCGUAAAUAUUUUUUCUCAUUUGUUAUUUAUAAAAAUGUCGUGGCUGAGAAAAGGCAUGUAGAAAAGUAAAGUUUUACGGUAAGUGACACGGGAUAUUUAUUUUUCCGGAUGGAGAGACGAUCCGGUUUUCCGCCAGCAGCUCUGAUGGUAUAGAUGUCAUAGCUGGUGGUAGCUACAGUAAUGGAAUAACGUGGGACCAGCUAGCCCGUGAAGUGCGUCGGCGGACUGAACGUAUACGGCAUUAAUCUAACCGCGCCUGUGCUUCGACCCGACGUCAGACGGUGGUCUGUGAACGUUUCAGCCACAACCGAAAAACCUUUUAUUUCAUUCAUUAAUCAUUUCCUCAGAAUCUGGCGGCUAGCAUGUUUAUGUCCUCCGCUUCUGUAAGCGUCAGCUGACGUGUUUUGCAUGUCGUAUGAGCUUUGCGCAGGACUUUAUUUUGCUUUCCAGCGUCUUCUCAAACGAGAUGUUGACAUGGUUUAUGUACGCUGGUGAAUCCGAUCGGGGGGAAGUCGGACCAGCGUUAAGCAGAUCGUAUCUCCGCAGGGGCGCGAUUCGGUACGACGUAGCGCUACGUUUCAGUCAGAAUAUCUCGAAGGUCGAACCGGUCUAAAGCAGUAGACCGCUUCAGGGCAGGAGUUACAGUGAGAAAUGUAUUGUUUAAUAAUCUUCACAAUCAGCACAACGUAGUCCGCUGAGAGUAAGCUUUGGUUGCUAAGCGACAUAACGGACAAGAACCUCUAACACCAAUAUAGAGUUCAGUUAUUUUGAUUUGUAUGUUAAGUGUUACGCAGUAUAGGAAUUGAUCUACAGUCGUCUCAGCCAAUCAGGUUUUAGAACUGAAGCCAUUUGUUUUAUUAUUGUUAUUAUUAUUAUUAUUAUUACUGUUAUGAUGACUUUUGUGAAAGUCCUGAAGGAGAUUUUUCCCGCUCUUUUCCUUACGGACGUGGUUUUGCCGCAGGAUCGUGGUUCACACCAGAAUGAGACCGGGUCGGGAUUUUGGGUUUCACUUGUAGGUGUGGGGUUCAUUGUGAAAACGAACCGAACGUGAUGAAGUUUGUGUAAAAACAAAGGAACCGAAAUUCCAGUGUAGCUUUUAGAUGAAGAAGCGGGACACGGCGCUCAGCGAGGUGACCUCACAUUCAUCACGGUUUCUCUCUCGCCGUCUCCGUGGCAACGCUGCUGAUUUCCGUGUAAUAGAUGAUUAAUUAACCCCGCCCCUAAUUCCGAGCUGUUUAUACAUGCACACACGGGAGGCCGUAGAGGGGAAAGGUAUUGAUUAAUGGACGGGAUCGUGUCGGGAGUGCAUUUUUCAUAAAUAACGAGAAGGAGAUGCAGAUUGAGAGCGUGCUGCGCUUCCCUCGGGGGGAUUGUUGGUUUUGUGGAUCUAUUUUUUUCCCCCCGACACCCCCCCACACCCCACCCCACCCCCCGGAAUCCCUUCAUCUCCCCCUUUCCUCUGUUUGUCUUUUGUCUCGCUCACGUACAUCUAAAGGAAGAAAUACAGAUUUGAACGAAACUAUUUAAAUGAACUGUGAUUUUUUUCCAUGGAGUGUAAAAGAGGCGAGAGGAACGAAUAAAGAAGGAGAGUGCGUUUUUUUUUUUUUUUUAAAGAGGGGGAGAGCUUAGAAGAGGGGAUAAAAAACCCCAGACGAAACCGAUCGCUGUCAUCUAAUUCGCGAGUGUGCUAAAGUUCGCCAGCAGCCGCUGCCGCGCUCUGAUUGGCUGAGGAAAGGUGAAAUUAAAACCACGGUAAACUUUUGACCCCGAGACGGAAAGGAGGAGCCGAACAGGAACGCCCGUCAUCGUGCUCUCUCUCUCUCUCUCUCUCUCUCUCUCUCUCUCUCUCUCUCUGGCUUCCUUCUCCGUCCCUCUUUCAGAGGCAGGGAUGCGUGCAGCUCAGCAUGGAGGAAAAGAGACGAGGCAAGAUGGAAAGUGCUAGAAGGGGAGAGAGAGAGAGAGGGAGAAAUGUAAAGGGGGGAGGGACAAGGCAGGAGAGGAAGAGCGAGGGAGGGAAAGACAGACAGAGGAGUGGAGAGCUGUUGUUUUUUUUAACGUAAUUACUCGUCCUCUUCUACGAAAAUGAGGAGGAAGGUAGCGAGCGGUGAAGCGAACACAUGAAGAUGGAGGAGAGGGCCAUUUCCACCCUCUCAUGUUUUCCUUCAUUAGCGAUCAAACGCGGCCGGGGGGGGGGGGGGGGGGGGGUGUCGAGGCUCCGAGUCUGCCGGUGUAACAGGAUCCAGCCGAGUUAACGAAGAGGGCAGCGUUCUCUUCCCUUAUACACACACGCACGCACACACACACAUUUGCAGAGAAAAUUCACCAGGCGGUCGUUCGUAUUCCUCUCACUGUUAAAGCUAAAGCGUUCCUUGUCGUUAUCGGCGUCCCCGAGAGAGACGCGACACAUCACGACACAUCGCACGCACCCGCCAACCUUCACGCUCCGAAGUGUAGCGUCGCGAUCACACCGCAAGAGUUCUCGCCCAAAAAUACCUCACAUUACAACCUCUUUCCCCCUCCUUUAAUAAAAAUCAAUAAACAUCACAAUCUGGAGUGCUAGCAUGCCAAGGUGGGCGUGUACUCUCUGAUGUUAACUGACCACCCUGGAAUCCACGCCCAAUUCCUCCUCGAAGGAUGCGUCGCGGCGGCGUCCUCACAUUCUGUCGCGGCGCACGAAGACAUCUUACACGUACGUAGCUAACGAGUUCGACCGUAAGCGUUUAUAGAUCACGUUUACGAUCACUUGAUCCGAGUAAAACGCUCGCUGCUUGAAGGACGAGAGGUUUCGAUACAUUCACGCUAACGAGUGACCAAUCGCUCGUCUGAAUAGUAGUUUGUCGCUUGUGGGCGUGACCCGGCCAAAGCUUUGAUGAGAAACAGUAGUAGCUUUUUUAAAGAUGGCUCCCAAACCAUAACGAGUUAAACAGAGACCCGCGUCGGGUUCGUGAAGGCCGGGCAGAACAAUCUGCUGCUACUGCGAUUGUGCCGAUUUUUAAAAAAUUUAUUUUUAAAAAUUAUUUCGCAGAAAAUCGGCGAAAUCGCAUUCGCGAGGUCUUUCGCAGUGACGUUUGUUGGUAAACGCACGUGAACGGAAGACGACUUCGUGGCGGUAACGUGAGGCGAUACGGCAAAGCGAUGAUGUCACGAUAUCCCGCGGCAUGUCUGGCAUGUACAGUAUGUGUCGUAUCACCAUCUUUAGGUUCGCUAACAAGCCGCUAGCAGACGUCGCGUGUUGCGAUGCUUUCAUUUGUCGAUAAAAGUAUUUAACAUUAAUAAUAAAGAAUUUUUUAAAAAAUCAUUACCAUUUAUGUUAAAUAUUCAGCGUAAAAUGUUUACGUUUGUAAUUUUUGGUAAGCUUCUGUUCGUUUUCUUAUUUGUGAGAAAAGUCUUUAUUUAUAUUUAUUUAUUUAUUUUAAAUGAAGGUGGUGUAAAUUUAUUUAUUUAUUUUCUUCUCCCUUUGGUGAUUUAUUCCUUUUUCCCUUCAUUACGACGAACGUUAGUAAAAAAAUGUUUAGCUACAGACUUGUUUGAGAAAUGGAAAGCGGUGCGCUGUGUGGUGCGCCCGAGACCCGAGACCCGAGACCCGAGAUCUCCACGCUCGAGCAGAUGGAGGAGAAUGAAGAGGAGACUUCAGAAGAAAAGACGAGGGG